CAGCGGGAGCCCCCCGAGCUCGCAGAGGGCAGGUGAGGAGCCGGGAGCCCGGCGCGCUCCGUCCCGGGAGGAUCCGCUCCCUCCCCUUCGGCCGUCCUCCUGGCGCGCCCCUCGAGAGCCGCAGCUGCUUAGGCACCUCUGCGCCGAAGGAAAUAUCUGCUCUCCAAGUGCAGCAGCAGCAGCAAAGUGUCUCGGUCCUUUUCUUGCUGUGAGGCUUAAUUUUAAAACAAAUGUUACCAUGUAAAACAAAAUUUGUUAAAGCAUCUGUUUCUUCCCUGGAGCCUCGGAAAAAAAUUUGAUCAAUGUGAAGAGUUUGUAUGAGCCUGCAUGGAAACUGGGUAUGUUAGAGAAUUAAUUAUAUAUGCAUAUCUCUGACAGCUCCUAUUUAUACCUAUGUCAAGGUCCAUACUGCCUUUCCUUCUACCUUCCCAGUCAUCAGUUCCUUUAGCAGCUGCUGCCUCCCCUUCUCCCAGAUAGUUUCCAGUAUCUUGUCCAAGAUACUUUCCGCCAAGCUGCACUGAAAGGUCUGUUUGUACUAUUCUUCCCCUGUCCUUCUAGACUCUGCCGCUUGUCUUGCUGUGGAAAUUUGGAAAGUACUGAGUACGGAGGUUGCGCUGCCACAGACUAGCAAAAGAAUGCCUACGGAGCCUUGCCCCCACAAAGGAGUUGAUUCAUGUGGCCUUGAUCGCACAGAUCCUGCUUUAUUUAGACUGCUUGUGUUUCUACUGGUGACUGCUCAGAGCCACUCUUAAGCUGUGGAGCAGGAACCUGCUGUGGGGCCUCAGGCUUCCUGAAGGACAUGUCCCUGUUCAAAAUGGUACUGGACAGGUGUGCAGACUCUUUAUUCUGAUGUGGAAAUAUCUGAGGUAUAUAACGGGAGAGAUUUUUCAAAGAAAUGCUUAAGAUCUUUAUUAAUUGUCCCUUUGAAAAUUUGAGUAUUUCAUACCUCAUAACUUUCAUGGCUAAUUCACUGAGCCAGGCUUUUUGCGAGCACCUGCACAGGCUCACUUGAUAAGAGUGAGACGAGAGUAUCUCUCUUUGCUUAGUGCUCAGCAGCUGAAGAAUUCCAGUGAGUGGGAGUUACCAGGUCGACAACAAUAGAACAGCCAUUGAUCUUAUAUUUUGUAAAUUAGGAAAACAAGCUCCAUCUAGUAUUACUCUUUUUCUGAUGUCAUAUAGGAAGUACUUCUUUCUUUCUUUCCCUCUUAAUCUCAGAAAGGAGAGAAUAGAGAACAGUAUUUGUU
rnacentral:lncRNA from 1 species